UCAAAUCAGUUCCUCUUGUGUUAAAAUACUCAUAAAGCUCUUGAAGCCACACCCACCAAAGCCAACAGAAGAGGAUAAGAAUGACGAAGGAGAGACUAAAGAAGGAGAGAGCCCAAGCACUAGAGAACAAAGUCUGGAGGCUGAACUAGUGAUGCCUCCACCCACUGCUCCUCUUGCUAAUCAAGAACACCAGGAACAAGUAGUAGCUCUUGCUCAGCCUUCAGUACCUAACCUUCAAGCUGUUCUAUCUAAUCCUCAAGCAGCAGUGCAACAAAUAAUGGCCAAUCCUAACCUGUUAGGUAUAAUGCCUGAUGAAGAAGCCAUGAUGAACUUUGCUAUUGCAAUCAGUCUACAUGAC